rnacentral:rRNA from 1 species
UAUCCUACGGGGGGCAGCAGUGGGGAAUAUUGCACAAUGGGGGGAACCCUGAUGCAGCGACGCCGCGUGGGUGAAGGAGCACCUCGGUGCGUAAAGCCCUAUCGGCAGGGGAGAAACAGACGGUACCUGACUAAGAAGCCCCGGCUAACUACGUGCCAGCAGCCGCGGAAAUACGUAGGGGGGAAGCGUUAUCCGGAUUGACUGGGUGGAAAGGGAGCGUAGACGGCGACGCAAGUCUGGGGGGAGAGCCGG